rnacentral:rRNA from 1 species
GAUGAACGCUGGCGGCGUGCCUAAUACAUGCAAGUCGAGCGAACAGACGAGGAGCUUGCUCCUCUGACGUUAGCGGCGGACGGGUGAGUAACACGUGGAUAACCUACCUAUAAGACUGGGAUAACUUCGGGAAACCGGAGCUAAUACCGGAUAAUAUAUUGAACCGCAUGGUUCAAUAGUGAAAGACGGUUUUGCUGUCACUUAUAGAUGGAUCCGCGCCGCAUUAGCUAGUUGGUAAGGUAACGGCUUACCAAGGCAACGAUGCGUAGCCGACCUGAGAGGUUGAUCGGCCACACUGGAACUGAGACACGUUCCAGACUCCUACGUGAGGCAGCAGUAGGGAAUCUUCCGCAAUGGGCGAAAGCCUGACGGAGCAACGCCGCGUGAGUGAUGAAGGUCUUCGGAUCGUAAAACUCUGUUAUUAGGGAAGAACAAAUGUGUAAGUAACUAUGCACGUCUUGACGGUACCUAAUCAGAAAGCCACGGCUAACUACGUG